AGGAGGGAGCAACAAAGACAGUAACUGGACAACAAAAACAUGAUAUUGGCAUUACUGAACGAGCUCCACAAGAUCAAACAAAGCCUCCUGAGAAGCCAUCUGCCUUCAAGCCUGCCACUAAAAUGCAAAACUCUGUUCCAAAUAAAGCCUUCAAACGGAAGAACGAACAAACAUUGAGAACAGCUCAGAUGUUCCAAUCAGAAUCCAAACAAAAGGACAAUGAAGAAAAUUCCUUGGAUUUUGAG